rnacentral:lncRNA from 1 species
GCAGUUUACGGGUUGGGGAGGCCUCAGGAGUGCCCAGAAAAGCCCCCGGCAUAGACAACAGUCCCGACAGCCAGGAUGAGUGGCAAGGGCCAGCGCUAGCCAUGUGCCACCACGAGCCCAGAGGGAGGCAGAGAGAUGCCCGGGCCUGCGUGCAUCCCAAACGCCAGCCCCUUCCCAUGCAAACGGGGCUCUGGAGCCCUCCAGCUCUGCUUCCCUUAGAGGAACCUGUGCACACCCGGAUCCUUGCACAGGAAAGACUCCAUAAGGCGUCAAACAAGAUCUGACAGAGCCUUCGGUGCCUCUCAGAUGGGAGCAGUACAAGGCUCCCCCUUCACCGUGCCCGGAAUCACAUUGCCGGAAACAGGAACAAACCACCAAGCCUGCGCCAUGCCCUCUCCCAGGUUCCCUGGAAUUCAUUCUUCUGGUCCUCUAAAUAUCUCCCCACAAAGCCAGAAGGUUUCCCCCAACUGCGACUCGAACCCCAGGAGCAUGACCCAAGUUGGUGAGGUGCCACCUGCCCUGUACAUGCUCCUGAGAUCCCGUGGCUUCCCCACAGGGUGGAACACACUGCUUAUCACCUCCCCUGCUAAAUUGAAGCCUGAGACCAGGACUGUCCUUGUUCCCUGCUAUGUAACUGAAU